ACCUGGCUAGCUUAGUCAGUAGAGCAUGGAACUCUUAAUCCCAGGGUUGUGGGUUUGAGCCCCAUGUUGGGCG
rfam:Erinaceus europaeus unplaced genomic scaffold scaffold00101, whole genome shotgun sequence